UGUUGACUCUUAGUUAGCAGGAACUGAAAUAAAGUCUCUCUGCCUUUGCUGUUACUGAAAACAAAGGUUUUCUCAUCUAAACCUCCACGCUCACAGGGGAAACGGUAUUUUUUAUUAUUUAGUGAGCCUUUUUUGCUGUUGAGCAGCAGAGUGUGAGGAUCAGUUCAUCCAUAGCUGCUGAGCGAGGAAUAUUUUCAGAGAUCCAGAGCGACUUUAAAGAUGGUGGCAGAUCAGCCGAGAACUGCAGAUGAGAGAUGAAAGGAGGAGGAAGAGAUGGAGAAGGAGGACUGGAAGAGAGACAGAAAGAGGCGAGAAGUUAAUAUUUCCCACACCACAUAUCCUGCAUAUCAUCCAAGUGAAAUAACGUGUCAGAAUCAAAGGCCCUACAUGUAUGAGAGGAAAAGCUUUGACCAGCAUGAACUGACUCAGCCACACGAUCUCCCGCUGUGAACAUCACCAAAGGAAAACUCAUGCUGAGAAAGCCGAGGGAGGGCAGGGGAACAAGUAGCACCUGGUAUGUUAUGUAAUGUAAAGACCUCAUUGUUCAACAUGCAGCUCUGUGUAUUGUGCUUUGGAAUGUGUGAAGCAUUAUGUCCUGGACUGUUUUCGAUUCACUCACCAAGGAUGGAUGAUGGGCAGCUGGUGGCUGCAACAUGUUUCUGAACUAUUUCUCACAUGACAGAAUCUCACACAAUUUUAAUACAUUCAGCAUUGAAGAAAGAAGGCUCUGCACACUUAUGAACAAUGCAACCAUUUAGAAAAAAUAUGCUGUGUCUAGAACUUUUUCAGGGUUUGACAAAGGGAAUCCAAAACCUUAUAAUGGAACCAAAUAGAGUACACCUUAGCAAUAUAGCACACGUGUGCUCAACUGGGUCCCUUUAAAAGCUGCGGGAUUCCCUUUUGUCAAACAUUUGCCCAGAUGAAAGUGUAGAGCCUGAAAGUUUGGUUUCAUUUUUUUAAAUGCUUUUAACAAGCAUUCAUGGCUACUUAUUUGAUUAUUGGUUCACACAUUAAUAUGGUCAGAAAACUUUCACAAAAUAGGCAUAUAGAGUACAAUUUCAGCCUUGUUACUCAAUGAAAUAUCAAACUAUUAGUAUCAGUCAACUACAGUACCUGAGUAUACUAUAAGGGGCUGAAUUUUAUAUAUCUUCCUCAGAAAUCACAUCAGAAUCUGAUUUUUUACAUUUAUUAAAAAUAUAUUAGAUUAAAUGACAUGAAAUUUUCUUAUAAGUGGAGAACCAACUAUUGCCAACUUAGAACAUCAAUAUCUUAAGAAAGAUUCAUGAUAGACACUGACAUUCAGUACAGAGCCAAGUGCCCUACAGAUAAGCACAUCAGUAGCCUGCUGAUUUAGAACAGUAGAUUCCUCAAUAUUCUGCAUCUUGCUUCCACUUCUUUGCAUACGUAAACUUUUUUUUUUUUGUGAUAUUUGUUUGGAGGACUAAGUUGUAAAAGUAAGUACUGUAGAUCAAGUCCAAUGUGAGAGCUGCCUGGUACAGUACUUUACGAAAUUGGUUAGAACAGAGCAAUAUAUCAUAUGGGCAUGGUAAGAAUAUCAAUAUACAUCGGAUUAGUCAACAAACAGCCACAACAAGUUAGAGGUUAGAGCUCUUGAAGUAUUGUGCAGAUCCUCUAAAUAAAGUGAGAAUCAUGAGCUUUAACCACCUCUUUCUGCAGAAAGAGCUUAGUUUGCAAGUUAGCACCAGAAACACCUUAGAACAAACCUAUAUUUUGAGUAAAAUUGCACACAGGAAACAGAAAAGUAACUUGGACAAUGCCAUGUCGCUCCAGUUGUUCAAACAAGCACUUGCAUGGGACGACCAACAACAAUUUACCACCAUCAUUGACACUUACUGCCAGAGACUGGUUAGCAGUCAGAACAACAGCUUUGACAGAGAACAUGGAGGUCAUGGCCGUGAUACUUUUUUCAUACCAUUUUUCCACAAAUUCACAUACUGUAAUUAGGUGGCGUGACGUGUCUUGAGUAUUUUUAAUCUAAGGCUAAUUAAUCUAGAAUCAUAUUUAAAGCAUUAACACCCCAACAUGCAUCUUCGCUUGAAAGGACAUAGGAAACUCCACCACCCACCUCCACAUCAGCUGAACCACUGUGAAAAACACUUCACAGAGAUCAUGUUGCAUUAUUGAAUAUACUCCUAGUACUUACUAUAUCACUGCUAUGUUCUAAAUUUGAGAUUACAGGUCAUAUUUCAAGUAUGAUUUACAAAGGUGAUUAUAAAUUAAACAUUGCUGUGAGUCUCCCAGCACCGUGGUGUUGUUCAGCUGAUACAUUCACAUUUUCUGGCCUCCUAAGAGAGACGAUACAAUAUUUCUGUCCUUCGCCAUCAAUAUUUCCAGGACUUGACAGCAGCUGUCAAUGUCACAAAUCUCACCAAUACUGAUGGUGCACACUAAUCAACAACAUAACCCCAUCUUGACUCACUGCUACGUUGUUAAUGGCGGUUGUUGAGUAGAAUUAAGAAGAAUGGACCCAUGUCAGCACUAGAUAUAAGUAUCAAUCACCUGAUGAUAAAUGAUGCAGUCGAGGGGAACUGAAAGGGUUCUGCUUGUUUGUAAGAGCUGAUAACUCUCUCCAAACAUAUCUCGUCCUUCACUAGAAUGUCAGAGUGAACUUGUUUCAGAGACAAAAGAAUGCAAUGAUUAAAUUCCUGCCUUCAGCCACAGAACCUCAGCGCUCAGGAGGAUAACAUGAGCCAAGGUUAUUACAUUCACAUUCCAAAGCAAGACUCCCCAGGUCUGUUUGCUUGUUGUUGUUUUUCUCUGAGCUCUCUGUGAAGAAAUAUGAAGUCUGAAACAUGGAAGAGGACGGAAUGCCGGAGAAGGAUCGGUCGGAGAACUAUCAACAUGGUGAACUGUAAUCUAUUACAAUGACGUUCCCAAGGAUCAAAAGCAAUGAGCUGCUGACUAUUUAAUAAACUGCAAGCUUACACUGCAGUAUGGUCUUAACUAUGAUUCAUUACUGUCACUGGAUCUUCUAUGAAAAUAAAAGAGGCGCCUGAGGAGACCGCUGGAUUCCAGCUACAUUAAAUUGCUGUAAAUUGCCUCUGCAUUACAUGUAAAGACUUUUUGUGGAGUUAAUUUUGGUGGGUUUUCUUUCCCUUUAUUUUACCACCAAUUAAAAAUGCAUGAAAAUAUGAGUUUUAAGAUCCUCAUGAGUUGCCACAGGGUUUUUCAAGUUUACAUACUCAAGGCAUAGUUUGAUAUUUUAUUCAUUAAUGUGUUUCCUUACAUCAUAAUUAUAGAGGUAGACUUAAACAGCUUGCCUCAAAGUCACAGCUGACAUUUCUUACUUUAUGAGGAGCAAACCGCAGUGAAUGUUCUCCAGCUCUUGGGGGCUUCAUCUCAUCUCUUACAGCAACAGCUAAAUGAACUCUUUAGGACACUCCGGCUCUAUUGAGAAGAUAAAAGCUGUCAUAUUGAGGUCAGGAAUCUGCAGAAUGAGAGGUAAUACAUUACUUAUCGCCAGGGAUGAACAUUUUCCACAUCAUAAAUUAAA